CUCCAAGAGCAGACGCAGCCCCAGACUGAAAAUGGACGGGAGGCACCACACAAGGAGUAUUCAAAAUCUUAAAUGGCUUCAAGAAUGAGGAACAAAAUGACAGGUGACACCUUCCCACGGGCGCCUCCCCAGCAAGGAGCCAAAGCAUCAUGUUCAUUCUUCUGUGGCUAAGCCACCAUCAGCCUUUUCAAAACAAAGCAACUUUAACACCCAAGGAAUGUUGCUAUAGCAGAAAAUCUCACAUCGCUUCUAUUUAGAAGCUGGGUGUCAUGGAAACAAGCCAAGGGCUACAUGCAAGAAAAAGAAAUGAGAAACGAAAACAACUGAGGUGGUUACCAAAGGAAAGGAGACAGCCAGAUUGGGAGACAAGGAAGUUAUUGGUCUCUGGAUGUUCCUGGGCUGGGUAAAUUUUGGAUUUGUACAUUCUGAGCUUUAUCUCUGGUGGGGUCUUCUGCUGGUCUGUGGAGAAGACAAGGAAAGUGAACCAAGCCAUACUGGGGGUGGGCCAUCGUGUUCCCUGUAAGCUGCCUAUGGAACCACACUCUGAAAAUUCUGGAUUUUCAGGUGCUACCAUCUUUUCUGGAUGGAAUCAUGCCACCUCUUUUGUUUGUUAUUUUUCUUAAUGCUCUUGGCUGAGAAGACUAAAUUCUUGGGUGGGCCCAAGCAGCGUGGCUUCACUCUGCCAUUUUCUGGCUGUGUCACAUUAGGCAGGAAAUUUUAUCAUCUCCUGAAGUCACACUGUCCUGCUGUGUAACAUGGAGACGCUAAUCCAAACAUCAUUGGAUUUUAAAUAUUUAAUGAAAUCAAUGCC